CAAUAGCGUAUAUUAAAGUUGUUGCAGUUAAAAAGCUCGUAGUUGGAUUUCUGGUGGGAGCGAUCGGUCUGGCGCUUAGCGCGAGUAGUUGCAUCGUCUCCGGCCAUCCUUGGGGAGAGUCUGUCUGGCAUUAAGUUGUCGGGCAGAGGAUCCUCAUCGUUUACUGUGAAAAAAUUAGAGUGUUCAAAGCAGGCUUAUGCCGUUGAAUAUAUUAGCAUGGAAUAAUAAGAUAGGACUUUGGUACUAUUUUGUUGGUUUGCGCACCAAAGUAAUGAUUAAUAGGGACAGUUGGGGGUAUUCGUAUUCCGUUGUCAGAGGUGAAAUUCUUGGAUUUACGGAAGACGAACUACUGCGAAAGCAUUUACCAAGGAUGUUUUCAUUAA
rnacentral:rRNA from 1 species